UCCCUUCCAAUUUUAUAGUCUAAACUGCUCUUCCUUAAGGCAUAUACUUCAUUUUGCCCUUACUCUGGCUUCCUUUUACCUUCAUAGUAAGAAGAAUUAAUUUUAAUCGGAAUUUCUCCUCUAUAGGUUUUCAUAACAUCAACAUUGCCAUAAUGUAUCUUUUUAUUCCAAAAAGGAAUGUAGUGAAGGUUCCUUAGGCCAUGUUGUACAUAAUUUCCUUAAAAUAAGCUUUUAUAAAAGGCAAAAUAUUUGAUGUCUCUUUUCAGAACUCACUUGAUCAAAUUGUAUAAAUACUUUCAGGUCUAAUACCAUUGAUACAACUACAUAUUUCCUGCCAGCUUCAGCCUGAUUCAUUGCUCUUGGCUUAUUCCUAGGAAUCACAUCAAAACUUUGAAGAAAGGCUUCUUGCAACACCAAGAGCUAACCUCUGGUUCUUCUCAAACUAUGCUGUGAUUAUCUCAGUCAGUAUCUCUGGAAUUAAACAGACUAGUUUCAUACCUCUAUGCAUGUAAUUAGUCUUAGAAAAAAAAUUUCCCCACCUGUUCUUUAUGACUGGAUCUUCAAAAGCUAAAAUUAAGCAGGACAAGGAUCAUGUUCUAUGUAUAAUUUAAAAUAAAGGGGAUUUGAGACCUACAUUAUCCAAGUAAAUGCUUAAUUAUGCACUUUCAACUGGGGGGGGGUUGGAAAAAAAAGAAGAUGGAGGAGGGAAAGAGAGACAUAAAUAAAAUACAGUAUUUUUAAAAAUCUGAACAUUAAAAAAUAAAUACAAUUUUUUUUUUUUUUUUUUUUUGCUUUUUAGGGCCACACCUGUGGCAUAUGGAGGUUCUCAGGCUAGGGGUCAAAUCAGAGCUACAGCUGCCGGCCUAUGCCACAGCCACAGCAAAGACAGAUCCGAGCCAUGUCUGCAAAUUACACCACAGCUCACAGCAACAAUGGAUCCUUAACCUACUGAGCGAGGCCGGGACUCAAACCCACAACCUCAUGGUUUCUAGCCGGAUUUGUUUCUGCUGUGUCACAAUGGGAACUCCAAUACAAAAUUUUUAAUUGUCUCAACAUCUUGCCAAGAAUAUAACCCAAACAAAAAUUUUGGAAAAGGCUUUCGUAGCUAUCCCAUGGUCAUUCCCUUCCAUUUCAUAGUCAAUAGGAUCUUAUCAUCUUUGCAUAGUUGACCAACAGUACAAAAAAGAAACCUAAAGGAAAACAAGCAAGCAAAAACAGAUAAAGUCUAAACUUCUUGUGUACUAUGUUUUUCAAAGUCAUAAUGCAUAAUGGAGAUUUAGUCUUAAAAACAAAACAAAAAAAGACCCUACGCAAAACUCUGCUUCUUCCCUCUAGGGAAGGUUAACUCACAUCAGGGAAAAAUAAUUCACCUGAUUCCUUCUUUCCCUUUACAUAUCAUAGAGGGGAAAAUGGCAAGAGCCAGAGCUGAUUGACGGUCCAUCAUCAAGCACAGGGUAUGGGCGAGUUUUCCAUAUUCUGGGCUAGGCUUAAGAGACCCAGAAUUCUCCUCUUAAUAAAGUGGAAGAGAUUGGGGGCAAGAGGGAGAGAGAUGUUUCUAGGGGCCAAGAGAAAUGAGAGAUUGGGCGAGAGGCAAAUAUCUUGGAGGCUCGAGAAUGCAGAGGAGUUUAGAGGAUGUAUGAAUGGUCUAAAAAUCAAUUACAGCACGCUCUAAAACCAUCAAUAAAAGCAGGUAAUAAUAAAUACAGGUAGACUUGUUAGUGGGGAAAGUGUAAGGGAAUCAAGGAAAAAAAGCUUGUGACAUUUGAAACACCAAGGCAUACAACAGGAUAGCACAUGCAGAAUGGGGAAAUGACUCCUAAAAUCGAUGGCUGCAGCUAAAGCCAAAGAUGAAUAAAGCAAUAUAAGUCAUCUUUCAUAAUCCCCAGGAACCUGAGAAGAAUGCCAGAACCCAAUGACUUAUGGUUUGGAGUUAACCAAGCCAACUUCACCUGAGUCUCUAUAUUAGAAAGGAAAGAAGGAAAUGAGGGUGGGAGAUGAAAAAGGAAUGAGGGAAGAAGGGAGGGAGAAGUGUCAAAGUACCUCUCUGAAACAUGGAUGGUAUUUGUCUCUAGAAUCUCUAGAUGAAGUUAGUCUACUUAUAAAACAUGACCUCUGUGGCACAACUAUCUCUCUAAUGCCCAUACAUUAGCCCAGAGGUUGAGUGGACUGGUCUUUUUUAAUGAGUCCCACUUUAAUAAGUAUUAUUUGGGCUAAUACUAUAAUUAUGAGUUUGAAAUUGUUUUCCAAUAUACUAUAAAUGCAUUUCUAUUUCUUUCCACAUAUUUGUUGGUUUCAUAACAAAAGUACUGUUCUUCCCAUUUGGUUUUUGUUAUAGGUGAACUCUGCAUUGAGCUUUAAAAGUACAUUAAAAACAAAGCCACUAUUUCCAUUCACCCUGUUUUUGCUAUAAGAGAGUUGAAAGGACAAAAGAUAAAAUUCACAAAUCCUACUGCAGAAUGACUUUAAUUUUUUAAGCCUUAAUAAGUGAUCUGUAUAUAUAAAAGAAAUGCACCACAGUUUUCAUUUGUUUGUUCUUUAUUGGCUUCUGGGGUUGGGGGAUCAAUGACUAGGCAUAAUUUAGUAUAUGUGAUACAAAGUGUUAUGUUUUCCUAUAGUAGAGAGGUUGGCAAACUGCAGCACUUUGUACCAAAAAAUAUAAGAAUAAUUUUAUUGGAAUACAGCCAAUUCAUCCAUUCAUUUGCUCUGUAACAACAAGAGUUGAGUAGUUGCAAUGGGGACCACAGGGCCCAGAGAGGCUGAAAUAUUUGCUAUCUGGCCCUCUACAAGAAAAGUGUGGGCACACCUGCUAAAGCCCUGUUAAAUUAAUUAAACAAAGAGGCCACUAAACUGAAGUGGCUAUAAUACCGUGAAGGUCUACCUAAGCAAACCAAAAUCCAAGCCUGUAAAAAGCCUCAAGAUUGUGAAAUCAAAACGCUAAGGACAACUAAUCACAAACGGCCAACUAGUCUUUAAAUUAUCGCCAAGCAAAUAACUUCCUUUCUUUGCUUCCACACAUUCUCAAUGUCAGUCUUUCCCCCUGGCUCCUGUUAGCAGCGUGCUCCUAACUACUUCCAGAUCAACAGUAACAAUUUCAAAUGAAUAAGUGUUCAAGUGUAACUCUUGAAACUUUCAAUACACCUCAAUUUAUACUUAAUAGCACAUCAUUACUACUAGGUAUUGUCAUGGUUUAUUUAGGUGGUCAAAAAUAUUUCAUAAAUAUCCUAACUAUAUAAAAUUUCAUUAUGGUUAAAGAGACCUGGAAAAUUUCCCUUUGCCUCUCAAAAUUCACUCUCUUCUCUUUAUCCAGCUCUGAGCCCUAGGAGCUGACCUCUGUCAAUGCAACAGCCACAGGCUCCUUUGCCCCGUGGCUUCCUGGUGGAUCUGGAAGUGAGCAGUGGGAGAUCAAAAGGUGGGAGGUAGAGUGUGCCUUCCUGUCUGGCAGCUGUUGAGCUGGCUGAACCCACCGAGUUCCUGUCUGUCAGUCCUUCCAGAGCUACAGCCACUCUUCUGAGGUAUGGCAACUACUUCCUCCUCUGUGGCUCCCUCAGACUGGUGUAAGGUCUGGUAAGUCUUGUUUGCACAGGAAACUUCACUGUUCCCUGUAGAUGUCCUGCCCCAUCUGUAAAUGUGACCUCUGUUAGAGUCUCAUCUGUCACCCCAUUAGAGUGGGCCUUUUCCUACAAGGACUCUGACAAAUUCAGAAAGUAAUCCUCCAAAGCUUGUGCCCAAGUAGAUUUAGGUUUAAAUGCUAUUAUAUAUCAAUUGCUAACUGUGUGAUUUCAAGCAAGACAUUUUACUUUUCUAAGCCUUCUCUGAAAAAUUAGAAUAAUAAUACCAACUGCAAAGAGUUGCUAAGAGAAUUCAGUGGAAUGUUGAUGAAGUGCUUAGGACAAUGACUAGCACUCAGAAAGUCCUCAAUAAAAGGCAACUGUUAUUAGUUUUUAUCAUAUUUACAUAUGUAAGCAUUUAUCAUAUUUACAUAUCAAGAAACAAAUUGCCAAGAUUUAAGAAUUAUGCCACAUUCUCUGGCACAAUGUGUAGGAGUGAGUAUUUUAAUAACUUUAUGGCCAAUUCUACCAACACUAUUUUGUCCAAGGUCUUUGUUUCAAAUUAGUACACUGUGUUAUAUUACAGCAUUAAUUCUUAAUCUGGAGUAAUUCUGCCUCCCCUCCCUGACAAUGUCUUGAGAUAUUUUUUAUGGUGACAAAACUGAAGGGUAGGGGGUACGCUAUAGACAUCUAGUGAGCAGAGGUUAGGGGAGCUAAAUAUAGUACAAUGCACAGGGAAGUCCCUCCAAAUAAAGAAUUUUGGUGAACUUUUGGGGGGACUUAACAAGAGUGAGGAGUCCAGCUAACUUAUAUUCCACACACUCUUCCAUUUAUUUAUUUAUUUAUUUGUCUUUUUGCCUUUUCUAGGGCCACUCCCUCAGCGUAUGUUGGUUCCCAGGCUAGGGGUCUAAUCGGAGCUAUAGCCACCGGCCUACACCAGAGCCACAGCAACGUGGGAUCCAAGCCACGCCUGCAACCUACACCACAGCUCACGGCAAUGCUGGAGCCUUAACUCACUGAGUGAGGGCAGGGAUCCAACCCACAGCCUCAUGGUUCCUAGUCGGAUUCGUUAACCACUGAGCCAUGACGGGAACUCCACACUCUUCCAUUUAAAAUAGAUAUU
rnacentral:lncRNA from 1 species